UACGUAGGGUGCAAGCGUUGUCCGGAAUUACUGGGCGUAAAGCGUGCGCAGGCGGUUUUGUAAGUCUGUCGUGAAAGCCCCGGGCUCAACCUGGGAAUUGCGAUGGAGACUGCAAGGCUUGAAUCUGGCAGAGGGGGGUAGAAUUCCACGUGUAGCGGUGAAAUGCGUAGAGAUGUGGAGGAACACCGAUGGCGAAGGCAGCCCCCUGGGUCAAGAUUGACGCUCAUGCACGAAAGCGUGGGGAGCAAACAGG
rnacentral:rRNA from 1 species